rnacentral:sRNA from 1 species
GCUAGGCGUAGUGGCACAUGCCUGUAAUCCCAGAGCCUCUGGAGGCUGAGACAGGAGGAUUCUGAGUUCAAAGCCAGCCUCAGCAAUGGCAAGGCUCAUUGAGACCCUGUCUCUA